UACGUAGGGGGCUAGCGUUGUCCGGAAUCAUUGGGCGUAAAGCGCGUGUAGGCGGCCCGGUAAGUCCGCUGUGAAAGUCGAGGGCUCAACCCUCGAAUGCCGGUGGAUACUGUCGGGCUCGAAUCCGGAAGAGGUGAGUGGAAUUCCUGGUGUAGCGGUGAAAUGCGCAGAUAUCAGGAGGAACACCAAUAGCGAAGGCAGCUCGCUGGGACGGUAUUGACGCUAAGGCGCGAAAGCGUGGGGAGCAAACAGG
rnacentral:rRNA from 1 species